AGGGACAGGCCAACCUGCAUGUGUUUGAGGACUGGUGUGGCUCCUCUAUAGCCCAACUCAGAAAGAACCUGCACUACCCUCACUACCCUCAUACCCGCACCACGCUGAAGAAACUGGCUGUCGCUCCAAAGUGGAAGAACUAUGGCCUGAGAAUAUUUGGCUUCCUUCACCCUUACAGAGAUGGUGAUUUCCAGUUCUCGGUGUCGUCUGAUGAUAACUCUGAGUUCUGGCUGAGUCCUGAUGAGAGCCCUCUCAGCGCCCGGCUGCUGGUCUAUGUA